AACACAUUGUCAAGCCGAGACGGUAGAGAUUCUUCAGGCAAUCUUGAGCAGCGGCGCAUCGGGUGCUGGAACACUGUGUGCAACCUGCCUUUAUCUGGGGCGAUAGCCUUUCGAAAGGGAGAUUAAUACCCCAUAAGUAUACUGAGUGGCAUCAGCAUUAUUAUUGAAAACUCCUGGUGGAUAGAGAUGGGCACUGCUGCAAGAUUAGAUAGCUGGUGAGGUAACGGCUCACCAAGUCAAUGAUCUUUAGGGGGCCUGAGAGGGUGAUCCCCCACACUUGGUACUGAGACACGGACCAAACUCAUACGGGAGGCAGCAGUGAGCGAAUAUUGGACAAUGGGUGAGAGCCUGAUCCAGCCAUCCCGCGUGAAGGACGACGGCCCUAUGGGUUGUAAACUUCUUUUGUACAGGGGAUAAACCUUUCCACGUGUGGAAAGCUGAAGGUACUGUACGAAUAAGCACCGGACUAACUCCGUGCCAGCAGCCGCGGUAAUACGGAGGGUGCAAAGCGUUAUCCGGAUUUAUUGGGGUUUAAAGGGUCCGUAGGCGGAUCUGUAAGUCAGAUGGUGAAAUCUCAAUAGCUUAACUAUGAAACCUGCCAUUUGAUACUGCAGGUCCUUGA
rnacentral:rRNA from 1 species